CCUACGGGGGGCAGCAGUGGGGAAUAUUGGACAAUGGGGGAAACCCUGAUCCAGCGACGCCGCGUGAGUGAAGAAGUAUUUCGGUACGUAAAGCUCUAUCAGCAGGAAAGAAAAUGCCGGUACCUGACUAAGAAGCCCCGUCUAACUACGUGCCAGCAGCCGCGGUAAUACGUAGGGGGCAAGCGUUAUCCGGAUUUACUGGGUGUAAAGGGAGCUUAGACGGUGCGCGAAGUCUGGAGGGAAAUGCCGCAGCUUAACUGCGGAACUGCUUUGGAAACUGGCGGACUAGAGUGCGGGAGGGGUAAGCGGAAUUCCUAGUGUAGCGGUGAAAUGCAUAGAUAUCAGGAAGAACACCGAUGGCGAAGGCGGCUUACUGGAUCGUAACUGACGUUGAGGCACGAAAGCGUGGGGAGCAAACAGGAUUAGAUACCCCAGUAGUC
rnacentral:rRNA from 1 species